rnacentral:tRNA from 1 species
UGGGAUGUAGCUCAGUGGCACAGCAGGCGCUUAAGAAAUGCGAGGCCCUGGGUUUGAUCCCCAGCGUUGCAA